AACGAACGCUGGCGGCAUGCCUAACACAUGCAAGUCGAACGAGACCUUCGGGUCUAGUGGCGCACGGGUGCGUAACGCGUGGGAACCUGCCCUUAGGUUCGGAAUAACUCCCCGAAAGGGGUGCUAACACCGGAUAAUGUCUUCGGACCAAAGAUUUAUCGCCUUUGGAUGGGCCCGCGUUGGAUUAGCUAGUUGGUAGGGUAAAAGCCUACCAAGGCGACGAUCCAUAGCUGGUCUGAGAGGAUGAUCAGCCACACUGGGACUGAGACACGGCCCAGACUCCUACGGGAGGCAGCAGUGGGGAAUAUUGGACAAUGGGCGAAAGCCUGAUCCAGCAAUGCCGCGUGAGUGAUGAAGGCCUUAGGGUUGUAAAGCUCUUUUACCCGGGAUGAUAAUGACAGUACCGGGAGAAUAAGCGCCGGCUAACUCCGUG
rnacentral:rRNA from 1 species